UACCAGCACCCCGAGUGGUCGGGACGAUUAUUGGGCCUAAAGCAUCCGUAGCCGGUUUUACAAGUCCUCCGUUAAAUCCAGCUGCUUAACAGAUGGGCUGCGGAGGAUACUAUAAGACUAGGAGGCAGGAGAGGCAAGCGGUACUCAGUGGGUAGGGGUAAAAAUCCGUUGAUCCAUUGAAGAACACCAGUGGCGAAGGCGACUUACUGGACGAUUGUUGACGCUGAGGUGCGAAAGCGUGGGGAGCAAACAGG
rnacentral:rRNA from 1 species